rnacentral:misc_RNA from 1 species
GAAAUGCGAUACUUGGUGUGAAUUGCAGAAUUCCGUGAAUCAUCGAAUCUUUGAACGCACCUUGCGCCUCUUGGUAUUCCGAGGGGCAUGCCUGUUUGAGUGUCAUUGAAUCCUCAAAAGAAAAGCUUAACUGCUUUCUCUUUUGGAAUUGGAGCGUGCUGGCCUUCUGUUGGGAAGCCCAGCUCCUCUGAAAUACAUUAGCGAUGUGACAUCCACAUGGCACCACGCUUAUCUGGCAUUGAUAGUAUCUUCAUGCCUGAGCGUGUUGUGCAGCUGUGGAAAGCUUUGCUCGCUCAUAGCCUGAUGGGUCCAGCCCAUCCUUUGACCAAUUUAACCUCAAAUCAGGUAGGAUUACCCGCUGAACUUAA